GACGAACGCUGGCGGCGUGCUUAACACAUGCAAGUCGAACGGAAAGGCCCUGCUUGCAGGGUACUCGAGUGGCGAACGGGUGAGUAACACGUGGGUGAUCUGCCCUGCACUUCGGGAUAAGCCUGGGAAACUGGGUCUAAUACCGGAUAGGAGCCAUUUCUAGUGUGAUGGUUGGAAAGUUUUUUCGGUGUAGGAUGAGCUCGCGGCCUAUCAGCUUGUUGGUGGGGUAAUGGCCUACCAAGGCGGCGACGGGUAGCCGGCCUGAGAGGGUGGACGGCCACAUUGGGACUGAGAUACGGCCCAGACUCCUACGGGAGGCAGCAGUGGGGAAUAUUGCACAAGGGGCGCAAGCCUGAUGCAGCGACGCCGCGUGGGGGAUGACGGCCUUCGGGUUGUAAACUCCUUUCGCUAGGGACGAAGCUUUUUGUGACGGUACCUAGAUAAGAAGCACCGGCUAACUACGUG
rnacentral:rRNA from 1 species